UACAGAGGUCCCGAGCGUUGUUCGGAUUCACUGGGCGUAAAGGGUGCGUAGGUGGCGAUGAAAGUUCGAUGUGAAAUCUCCGGGCUUAACCCGGAAAAGGCAUUGAAAACUAUGUUGCUUGAGGUUUGGAGGGGGGACUGGAAUUCUUGGUGUAGCAGUGAAAUGACGUAGAUAUCAAGAGGAACACCAGUGGCGAAGGCGGGUCCCUGGACAACACCUGACACUGAGGCACGAA
rnacentral:rRNA from 1 species